rnacentral:rRNA from 1 species
GAUGAACGCUAGCGGCAGGCCUAAUACAUGCAAGUCGAACGGUUCUUGGUUUUCGGAUCAAGGAUAGUGGCGCACGGGUGCGUAACACGUACACAACAUACCCUUUACUGGGGGAUAGCGGUGGGAAACUGCCAGUAAUACCCCAUGUCGUUAAGGUUUGGCAUCAAAUUAUAACGAAAAUUACGGUGGUAGAGGAUUGGUGUGCGUCCGAUUAGCUAGUUGGCGGGGUAACGGCCCACCAAGGCGACGAUCGGUAGGGGGUGUGAGAGCAUGGCCCCCCCANACGGGUACUGAGACACGGACCCGACUCCUACGGGAGGCAGCAGUAAGGAAUAUUGGACAAUGGGCGGAAGCCUGAUCCAGCCAUGCCGCGUGAAGGAAGAACGCGCUCAGCGUUGUAAACUUCUUUUGAAUGGGAACAAUAACCUCCACGGGUUGGGGGCUUGAGGGUACCAUUAGAAUAAGCACCGGCUAACUCCGUGCCAGCAGCCGCGGU